rnacentral:rRNA from 1 species
GACGAACGCUGGCGGCGUGCUUAACACAUGCAAGUCGAACGGUAAGGCCCUUCGGGGUACACGAGUGGCGAACGGGUGAGUAACACGUGGGUGAUCUGCCCUGCACUUCGGGAUAAGCCUGGGAAACUGGGUCUAAUACCGGAUAGGACCACUGCCUGCAUGGGUGGGGGUGGAAAGCUUUUGCGGUGUGGGAUGGGCCCGCGGCCUAUCAGCUUGGUGGUGGGGUGAUGGCCUACCAAGGCGACGACGGGUAGCCGGCCUGAGAGGGUGACCGGCCACACUGGGACUGAGAUACGGCCCAGACUCCUACGGGAGGCAGCAGUGGGGAAUAUUACACAAUGGGCGCAAGCCUGAUGCAGCGACGCCGCGUGAGGGAUGACGGCCUUCGGGUUGUAAACCUCUUUCAGCACCGACGAAGCGCAAGUGACGGUAGGUGCAGAAGAAGGACCGGCCAACUACGUGCCAGCCGCCGCCGUAA